ACAAAUCUGAAGAGGCAGAAUAGUAUGCUUAUAGCCAGUUCAGAAAGUUGGCGGAUGUUGCGAGCCAAUCUGGGUGAUAGCUGAACUCGCUGCGGAGGAGUGGCUGUGAAGGAUUAGCAGUCGCCGUAAGCCUGCGUUAUAGGCAAAGAGUGGAUGACAUUUGUCAUCAAACAGGGUGGUACCGCGAGAAUCUCGUCCCUGGC
rnacentral:ncRNA from 1 species